rfam:Planktothricoides sp. SR001 contig_30, whole genome shotgun sequence.
GCUGGUGUAGCUCAGUGGUAGAGCACCCGCCUUGUAAGCGGGCGGCCAUCGGUUCAAAUCCGUUCACCAGCU